ACUAUUAUCAUUAUAAGUUUUUAUUCUGCGUACAGGUAGUUUAUUUAUGGAGUUUUAAGAAUGUUUUCUACUGUUUCCAAUCAGGCACUCAUAUGACCAUGUCAGAUUUAUAAAGGACAGCUCCAGAUUAUGUCGAAGAACUCUACUGACAGGGAAAAAGGAGUUUGAAGACAUGUCAAGUAGUGGGGACAUGCAUUUGGGGUGGCAUCAGUACCACAACCUCACUGAGAGGGAUUUAGACGAUGACAAUGAGGAGUUCCCGGACGACAUUGACUUCGGGGAUCCAGCUCUCAUUGCCCUACAGGAGGAGGAGGUACAGGAAGAAGAAGAGGACCAUAUAGAGGUGAUUGCGAGGAAGGGCAUAGAGCCAGAAGUUAUUCAGAUUGACUGAUCAUGUGCUUCACUGGAAGGGAGUUGUACAAAGAUUUAUCAAAAGGGACCAGAAUGAAUAAGAGUAACUGUUGUAUUUUAUAUAUUUUUUUUUAAUUAUAAGAAAUUGAUUGUUAUUAUUGGUAGUAUUGAUGCCAUGACUGAAUUUGAAUUUGUCUUUUACUUGUAUUACCAAAGUAUUGUCUGUUGGUUGUUAAAGAAUUCUGCAACUGGUAAAAAAGUAUAGAAGAAAUGUGCAAAUAUGCAUUGACUGGUUGAAAAGAAGUAUUUUAAAACUAUUUAAAUAUAAUAAAAAGUUUCAUGCA
rnacentral:lncRNA from 1 species